rnacentral:rRNA from 1 species
UACGGAGGGUCCAAGCGUUAUCCGGAUUCAUUGGGUUUAAAGGGUGCGUAGGCGGGCUAUUAAGUCAGUGGUGAAAUCCUGCAGCUUAACUGCAGAACUGCCGUUGAUACUGAUAGUCUUGAGUUUGGUUAAGGUAGGCGGAAUGUGUAAUGUAGCGGUGAAAUGCAUAGAUAUUGCACGGAACACCAAUUGCGAAGGCAGCUUACUGGACCAUUACUAACGCUCAGGCACGAAAGCGUGGGGAUCAAACAGGAUUAGAUA